GACAGAGGGUGCAAACGUUGUUCGGAAUUACUGGGCGUAAAGCGCGUGUAGGCGGCCCUGCAAGUCGGGUGUGAAAUCCCACGGCUCAACCGUGGAAGUGCACUCGAAACUGCAGGGCUAGAGUCCUGGAGAGGAAGGUGGAAUGCUUGGUGUAGAGGUGAAAUUCGUAGAUAUCAAGCGGAACACCGGUGGCGAAGGCGGCCUUCUGGACAGUGACUGACGCUGAGACGGCGAAAGCGUGGGGAGCAAACAGGAUUAAGAAACCCC
rnacentral:rRNA from 1 species